UACGUAGGUGGCGAGCGUUGUCCGGAUUUACUGGGCGUAAAGGGAGCGUAGGCGGAUUUUUAAGUGAGAUGUGAAAUACUCGGGCUCAACUUGAGUGCUGCAUUUCAAACUGGAAGUCUGGAGUGCAGGAGAGGAGAAUGGAAUUCCUAGUGUAGCGGUGAAAUGCGUAGAGAUUAGGAAGAACACCAGUGGCGAAGGCGAUUCUCUGGACUGUAACUGACGCUGAGGCUCGAAAGCGUGGGGAGUAAACAGG
rnacentral:rRNA from 1 species